UCUCAAUGAUGACCAAACACACAAAGAUGACGAGUCCGAUGCCAUUCCAUUCUAUUCACCAUGUGGACAAAUCGAGGCAUUUGUCUGAGAGAA